ACAUACGACCAUUGACUGGAGAGAAUUGGGCAUCCCGUUCGCUCUGCCUUCCACAAGCUCCAGAUCGGCAGAUUAGUAGUUGGGUGGGUGACCACCAGCGAAUACCUGCUGUUGUAUGUU
rfam:Glarea lozoyensis ATCC 20868 chromosome Tnknown GLAREA16, whole genome shotgun sequence.